UGUUUAUCAGCCUCUAAGGGGGWAGAAGACCUUCGUUUUCUUUGAUCAGAUUUAUGUCGGUGAAGGUUUUCUGGUUUACUCCGUAGGGCUUGUAGCUCAGUUGGUUAGAGCGCGCGCUUGAUAAGCGUGAGGUCGGAGGUUCAAGUCCUCCCAGGCCCACCACUUAUGAUGUCUUAUGAUUAAGCUCUUGGUAAUCGSUUAGAGAAGCAUUUGUGCACUUAUAAARCUUGGCAUUCUGAWAGAGUUUAGCCCUYUUAGUAGAAUUUGUUUCUCUUGAUAGGGUUUUUGUUGAGGCUAGAAUGUUUUUUAGUUUGGCUCUWUUUUUAUAAGAGAAGGGKGUGAUCCUUUUCAUCAGGCUUUUUAGACUGUUUUAGGGGCCGUAGCUCAGCUGGGAGAGCACCUGCUUUGCAAGCAGGGG
rnacentral:misc_RNA from 1 species